UGGGGAAUAUUGGACAAUGGGGGGAACCCUGAUCCAGCCAUGCCGCGUGUGUGACGAAGGCCUUAUGGUUGUAAAGCACUUUAAGCGAGGAGGAGGGUACAGGUAUUAAUACUACCAGGUACUGGACGUUACUCGCAGAAUCAGCACCGGCUAACUUUGUGCCAGCAGCCGCGGUAAUACAGAGGGUGCGAGCGUUAAUCGUAGUUACUGGGCGUAAAGCGUGCGUAGGCGGCUUAUUGAGUCGGAUGUGAAAUCCCCGGGCUUAACUUGGGGAUUGCAUUCGAUACUGGUUAGCUAGAGUGUGGGAGAGGAUGGUAGAAUUCCAGGUGUAGCGGUGAAAUGCGUAGAGAUCUGGAGGAAUACCGAUGGCGAAGGCAGCCAUCUGGCCUAACACUGACGCUGAGGUACGAAAGCAUGGGGAGCAAACAGG
rnacentral:rRNA from 1 species